rnacentral:rRNA from 1 species
GACGAACGCUGGCGGCGUGCCUAAUACAUGCAAGUCGAGCGAAGUUUUUCUGGUGCUUGCACUAGAAAAACUUAGCGGCGAACGGGUGAGUAACACGUAAAGAACCUGCCUCAUAGACUGGGACAACUAUUGGAAACGAUAGCUAAUACCGGAUAACAGUAUUUCUCGCAUGAGAGAUAUUUAUAAGUUGGUUAUGCUAACACUAUGAGAUGGCUUUGCGGUGCAUUAGCUAGUUGGUGGGGUAAAGGCCCACCAAGGCGACGAUGCAUAGCCGACCUGAGAGGGUGAUCGGCCACACUGGAACUGAGACACGGCCCAGACUCCUACGGGAGGCAGCAGUAGGGAAUCUUCCGCAAUGGGCGAAAGCCUGACGGAGCCACGCCGCGUGAGUGAAGAAGGAUUUCGGUUCGUAAAGCUCUGUUGUUAGGGAAGAAUGGAUAUGUAGUAACUAUACAUGUAAGAGACGGUACCUAAACAGAAAGCCACGGCUAACUACGUG